GGAAAGCCUCUCUCCCAAGACUAA
rnacentral:siRNA from 1 species